AAAUGUAAUUUUUAUCGCUAAAAUAUUUAGGUGCCCGCAAACAUAUUUUGAAUUGCUUAUCUGUUACUAUAUGCAGAAGAUUAUUAUAGAAUGGAACAAAUUUUUGUGGCCAAAGAAAAUCCAGUUCCGUCGAUAUCCCUAAAAACGAAUGGAUUGACUAUAAAUAAUAGUACUAGAAAACAAAAUGCCAGAAAAUUAGUACUGGGAAAACUGGAUAAUAUGCUGCGUCAGAACCAAACUCCAUUUAACGUCGAUACCUUAUCAUGCCCUAAGAGCUUUGCAAAAUUACCACUUCAGUAUUGCCAUAGACAUAAUGAACGUGGAGAAGUCAAUCUGAAAUGUACACCUAGUUACUUGGGUCUCUACUCUUUGAAAAAUGAAGUCUGUUUCCAGAGUGCCUAUGAAAAUUUAUUUGAUUAUAUGGACUUUUCAAAUACGAAGUGUUUGAAUAAAUGCUGGAGACAGCAGUCAUAACUUAAAAAUCGCAGAUUUUGAGCUCAUUCGGUGGCAGAUAUGUCCGUUUUUCAAACCAUCCCGAGCCCACAAUACCAGUCUCUAACGGCGUGGCUUCCAGACUAUCCCGAGGCCCCGAAGAAGUUAAGGCCCCUUCGAGUACCAAGUCACGACUUCUCAGAAGGGCAUGAAAUCUCAAUUACCGAAAUAUGGUUGGACAAUGAAUCUGGUGAUGAUAUAUUUACUGAAAAAUUUUUAAAUAAUCUGGGCAGCUUGAUAGAAGAUUUGGGAAAUGAGUGUUUUAUCUCAAUACGCAAUGUUUUUUGUGAAAACCUUGACAAUUGGUCUCAAUUAGAUGAUACUGAUAACACUGGGACUGAACACGGCGAGUAUACAUUGGAUUCACAGAUGACGAUGCCCAAUUUAGAUGAUAUAGAUAUACCAUUUUAGACAAGAUAAAAUAAAGCACUCUCAGGUUUAAUGGCGCGUCCACCCCUUAUAAAAUUAAUAGAUUAAAUUUUUAAUUAACAUUGCUUUGUUUUUUGCUGUGCGCAGUACAUAAGUUAAAACCCUAAAAAAUUAUAUUUGCAUCAUAUUAUAAAAACCGAUAUA